CGAGAGAGCCUGUGGUGCUGGGCAAGGCCUCAGGCAGCGCGGGAAGAGAAACCUGAGGCCUCCUCCUCAGAACCACCAGAGCCAGCCCAGCCCACAGUAUUGCAGCAGCUGGAAACAUAUACUGUGCUGCCUUCAGGGGAAAUGUAAACAGUUCCUGUUCCCUCCAGAUAGUAUACACCACCAACAGAUAAAAGAAUUACAGCCACAUACGUGCGUGGGAGGUUCCUUAAGAACAUGGAGGACUCAGGGCGGCUGCUUUGCUGGAAACUCCUCUAGCGUGGGCUGCCACCGGUAUGCUGUCACUGCAAUGGUUCUGGCAUCCUCUGCUCUAGGGCCGUGUGUACAUCCUCAAGGGAUAUAGCAUUUUCCAAUCUCUAAAAGUGGAAACGGACUCAACGCAUUCAAUCUUGUGGCUGGAUACAUAGACAGACACUUGUCCCAUAGCCCGAAUGCUUCCCAUUCAGCUCUGUCACCACCUUUUAUUCAGCCUGUGGUAACUGUUUUGUCCUGGGAUUGCUUUGUCUAUGACCUGCUUUUACCCAUUCCUUGUGUGAUUGCUAGUUCUUGGAAAACUAUCUGUUAUCUGUUCACCGUGUUGGGAAGCUGAACGAAUGCAAUAUCUGUAACAGAAGAAAAUGAAACUAGAAGGAAUUUGGGAAAGAACUUUAUUGGCUUGGCAAUGGGAUACCAGCUAUACACGCAUUCCUAAAACCUUUUUAAGUGUGUGGAAUUGGUUACCAAGGAGGAAACACUGUAGUUUUGAUCAGUUAGCAAUCCCAAUCAGGCAUUAUUUCAGGAAUAUUUACCACCAAGAAAAAGGAAUGGACUGGGGGAGGGGUGGGCUGGAGAGAUGGCUCAGAGGUUAAGAGAACUGUCUGUUCUUCCAGAGUCCUGAGUUCAAUUCCCAGCAACCACAACUCUCUAUAAUGAGAUCUGGUGCCCACUUCUGGUGUGCGGGUGAACGUGCAGGCAGAAUACUGCAUACAUAAUAAAAUCUACUGUGUUUUGAAGCAAAA